UUAAUUUGAGAGUUUGAUCCUGGCUCAGGACGAACGCUGGCGGCGUGCCUAAUACAUGCAAGUCGAACGAACUCUGGUAUUGAUUGGUGCUUGCAUCAUGAUUUACAUUUGAGUGAGUGGCGAACUGGUGAGUAACACGUGGGAAACCUGCCCAGAAGCGGGGGAUAACACCUGGAAACAGAUGCUAAUACCGCAUAACAACUUGGACCGCAUGGUCCGAGUUUGAAAGAUGGCUUCGGCUAUCACUUUUGGAUGGUCCCGCGGCGUAUUAGCUAGAUGGUGGGGUAACGGCUCACCAUGGCAAUGAUACGUAGCCGACCUGAGAGGGUAAUCGGCCACAUUGGGACUGAGACACGGCCCAAACUCCUACGGGAGGCAGCAGUAGGGAAUCUUCCACAAUGGACGAAAGUCUGAUGGAGCAACGCCGCGUGAGUGAAGAAGGGUUUCGGCUCGUAAAACUCUGUUGUUAAAGAAGAACAUAUCUGAGAGUAACUGUUCAGGUAUUGACGGUAUUUAACCAGAAAGCCACGGCUAACUACGUGCCAGCAGCCGCGGUAAUACGUAGGUGGCAAGCGUUGUCCGGAUUUAUUGGGCGUAAAGCGAGCGCAGGCGGUUUUUUAAGUCUAAUGUGAAAGCCUUCGGCUCAACCGAAGAAGUGCAUCGGAAACUGGGAAACUUGAGUGCAGAAGAGGACAGUGGAACUCCAUGUGUAGCGGUGAAAUGCGUAGAUAUAUGGAAGAACACCAGUGGCGAAGGCGGCUGUCUGGUCUGUAACUGACGCUGAGGCUCGAAAGUAUGGGUAGCAAACAGGAUUAGAUACCCUGGUAGUCCAUACCGUAAACGAUGAAUGCUAAGUGUUGGAGGGUUUCCGCCCUUCAGUGCUGCAGCUAACGCAUUAAGCAUUCCGCCUGGGGAGUACGGCCGCAAGGCUGAAACUCAAAGGAAUUGACGGGGGCCCGCACAAGCGGUGGAGCAUGUGGUUUAAUUCGAAGCUACGCGAAGAACCUUACCAGGUCUUGACAUACUAUGCAAAUCUAAGAGAUUAGACGUUCCCUUCGGGGACAUGGAUACAGGUGGUGCAUGGUUGUCGUCAGCUCGUGUCGUGAGAUGUUGGGUUAAGUCCCGCAACGAGCGCAACCCUUAUUAUCAGUUGCCAGCAUUAAGUUGGGCACUCUGGUGAGACUGCCGGUGACAAACCGGAGGAAGGUGGGGAUGACGUCAAAUCAUCAUGCCCCUUAUGACCUGGGCUACACACGUGCUACAAUGGAUGGUACAACGAGUUGCGAACUCGCGAGAGUAAGCUAAUCUCUUAAAGCCAUUCUCAGUUCGGAUUGUAGGCUGCAACUCGCCUACAUGAAGUCGGAAUCGCUAGUAAUCGCGGAUCAGCAUGCCGCGGUGAAUACGUUCCCGGGCCUUGUACACACCGCCCGUCACACCAUGAGAGUUUGUAACACCCAAAGUCGGUGGGGUAACCUUUUAGGAACCAGCCGCCUAAGGUGGGACAGAUGAUUAGGGUGAAGUCGUAACAAGGUAGCCGUAGGAGAACCUGCGGCUGGAUCACCUCCUUUCUAAGGAA
rnacentral:rRNA from 2 species